UACCAACGGAUGAUGGGGUCUGACAAUAGAGCUGCCGGGAACAUUUUCACAGAAGAGGAAGAAGAAGAUUCUGAACUACAUUGAGGCCAUGGAGUGUGUUUAAUGAGUAAUACAGCUAACGGUGUUCCACAAGACUGCUACCACAGACCUUCAUGGGACCUUUCCAUUCUUUCUGGGUUGGCUUGAGGUUCUUCAGAGAGAAACUGAAAACAGGACACAGACCUAAAGCAGAGGACAACAGCUCUACAUUGACUCAGAGGAAUCCUCCAGUACGACGACACAAACCAAAACCACUGCACAGCUCUACAUCAACUCCCACACUUUCAAGAGGAUUCCUGCAGUAUGCUGUUCAUGGUGAAGACCAGCUUGAGGCUAAUAGGGAUGCAAGUUGGACUGCUUAUCAAAGACAAAGGCCUGCUACAGGUCUUCAUCAUUCAUCACAAGGUCGACAUCAUUCAUCUCAAAGGGGGCAUGACAACUGGCUAGUUGGGCUCAAUGUGAAGAAAAAGACUGAAUCUUUUGUGUGUUCACAAAACAUGGACUGUUGACCACACAGUGUUUUGGACUUGUACUACAUCAUGUACUGUACUCUUUUCAAUGACAUCACACUACGUAUUGGUAAAACGGUCCCUGGAGUAAUAUUUGAAUUAGAUUCCUAAUGGCCCAGAAGUCAUGGAUGAGGGUACUGAUGUAUGGUUACAGAUUCAAACCUGCAACCUUCCAAUUGCAAGAUUAAGCUUAAUGCCCAAUAGACCACAGCUCUGUACAGUACAUUUUCUUCUACAUAAAUCCUUUCUCCCUCCAUCAGUCUUACCAAAACAUAAUGUUUUCUUACUGCAACCCCAAUUUCUCCCGUGCCCUGUUUGGCUAGCUGAUUUGUCAUGAAUUUUGGUGGUAUAAAGUAGUAACCAUCUGUGUAUGUAUUAAUAUGUGAAAUUGAACUUGAACAACAAAUAUGUAGUUGAAUUCACGUUUUGACUUAUAAUUUCAAGGCAGCAGGGGAACUUGGUUUUGGUAGUCUUUUUUGAAUGUACUAUACAAGUUAAAAUAAAUGUGGAAUUUCAAUCAUAUAUCACAUGAUGUCUUUCAUUGUGUUAUUUAAACUUUCCAUCCGAAGUUGAAGUGAUUUGUAAUGGCUUUUUAAUUCAGCUUAAACUAUCAAUUUCAUUGAACAAUUGCUACAAAGUCCAAUCAACUUUGACGACUAAGAACAUUAUGUUGAGACAACAACAACAUUGUAGUUGGAUCAACUUUAUAGACUUUGAUUUCUGAGUUGAUACAAAAAUAAUCCUGAAGUUCAGUUAACUUGCAAACUUAAGGCAGCAGGGGAACUUGGA